UAUCCAUCAGUAAAAUAUAUGAAAAACUGAAAAACAUGUGUGGUUCAUAGUAACUGAUAAUAACAUUACUGUAUUGGAGAAGACGGGUAUGUAUAAUAUACCCACAUAUGUCUCGUAAUUAACAUCAAUCUAAUAACUAACUUCUGUGACUAUUAACAACUUAAGAAAUAAAUGAACAUGAAACACUCAUUUUCUAACAUCUUUUCUUCUUAAUAACAAAGACACAAUGGCUUUUCCCACCAAGAAAUCACAUCUUAAGAUCAACCAUCCGUGAACCAAUCAUGUGAUUCCUUAGGACACUGAUAACAGAUCAAUGUAAACAUAAGAUAAAAUCAGUUAAAACCUACAGUAAGUUCCCUUGAAAAGGAUCAGACAAGACGGACGGAUUUGUCUCCCUUUUCAAAAUUAUGAAAUUCAACAAUAAGCAAGAGUUUUGUCCCUUACACCUUAUCUUGAAAAUAAGACCGAGUUACAUGUUUUCAUUAACUUAACCAGUAUAAUGAUCUUUAUGGAAUGAGUCCAAAAUGUUUUUCAUUUGCAUUGAAGAGCCAAUGGUAGAAGCAAAACAACGGGACCUGCUUAUGAAAACUCUGCAUCAAACAGCGACACUAGAAGAUCUAAGAACAGUUUAAGUAUCUGAGCAUGAAUAUUGUCAAAUUUGUCCAGCCAAUGUGAUGUAAUUAUGGUAAUCAGCAUUAGCGAGCUCAACAACAACAAUUUUAAAUACUUGCAUUAAAAGUGUCACGUCAAUAGAGUAACAAUUUGAAUAAAAAACAAAAGACUACAUUGUAACAA